GAUGAACGCUGGCGGCGUGCCUAAUACAUGCAAGUAGAACGCUGAAGGAAGGAGCUUGCCCUUUCCGGAUGAGUUGCGAACGGGUGAGUAACGCGUAGGUAACCUGUCUGGUAGCGGGGGAUAACUAUUGGAAACGUUAGCUAAUACCGCACAACAGUAGAUGUUGCAUGAUUUCUACGUAAAAGGUGCAACUGCACCACUACCAGAUGGACCUGCGUUGUAUUAGCUAGUUGGUGAGGUAACGGCCCACCAAGGCGACGAUACAUAGCCGACCUGAGAGGGUGAUCGGGCACCCUGGGACUGAAACCCGGCCCAGACUCCUUAGGGAAGCAACAAGAGGGGAUCUUCGGCAAUUGACGGAAGGCUGGCCGAGGAACGGCGGGGGAGGGAAGAAGGUUUUCGGAACGUAAAAGUCUGUUAUAAGAGAAGAACGAGUGUGAGGGUGGAAAGUUCACGCUGUGACGGUAUCUUAACAGAAAGGAACGGCUAACUACGUG
rnacentral:rRNA from 1 species